GACAGAGGUGCCGAGCGUUAGGCGGAAUCACUGGGCUUAAAGCGUGUGUAGGCGGACUUGUAAGUACCUUGUGAAAUCCCAUGGCUCAACCAUGGAACUGCUUGGUAUACUGCUUGUCUUGAGCCACUUAGGGGCAGUCGGAACAGACGGUGGAGCGGUGAAAUGCGUAGAUAUCGCCUGGAACGCCAAAGGUGAAAACAGACUGCUGGGGCUGUGCUGACGCUGAGACACGAAAGCCAGGGGAGCGAACGGG
rnacentral:rRNA from 1 species